UUAAAAUAAGUUCUCCUAACUCUUCUUUAGACCUUCAUUCAGAUAAGGUUAGAGUCAUUUAAACUGCUUGAUUCAUCAUUCCUUUGCUUGCAAAUGUUUUCUUGUUGCCAACGUUUCCAGAUGCUGUUCAGGUCACUCUCGUACUUAGUUUCAAGAGCUUGUUGGAACAUCUUAUUCCCUACAGAGCCUCUGAGGUUUUGUUGUAUUUGAAAAAUCAAAAGUAUACGAUUGGAUUCCCUAACAAAAUGUACACAGGAAAACUGAGGACAUCUCAGCAACUGUCUGAAGAUAAAAAGAUGCCAGCUAACCCUAAAUCCUGCUGUGCAGAUGAAUAGCAGAAACAUUGCUUGUGAUUUUGAUAUUCCAUCUGUAAAUAACAGACACUUUUGGAGGCCACAUAUGAUUUAAUCCCAGAAUCUCAAACUUCCAUCUGUGCUGAGCAGAUUCCUGAGUCUGUGCCUCCAUCACGGAAGCUGCACUACAGAGCAUCUGGUCCAACCUGGUUCCUGAGUGUGUGCAGGCUGCUCCUUGCACUGCAGUUUUCCCUGGAGUCGUUUGAACCCAUCAUCCCUUGUCCUAUCACUACAGUCCCUGAUGAAGAGUCCCUCUCCAGCACCCUUGGAGCCCCCUUCAGACACUGGAAGCUGCUCUGAGGUCUCCACGCAACUUCUCCAGGCUGAACAGCCCCAAUGUUCUCAGCUUGUCUUCAUACAAGAGGUGCUGCAGCCCUUCAUCAUCCUCACAUAUGUACUUGGUAUCAAGGUGGAAGCCUGAGAGUUGCUGUAAUUGCUCUGGACUUCACACAUCUUCAGUGCAAUAUGAAUUGACAUUUUGGUCAGUUGAGCAAUGCAUCUGUAUCCUGUGUGCUUGUGAUUAAAGAUGCAUAUGCUUUUGACAAGAGAUGAUUAAAUUCAGCCAGAUGAUUGCAA